AUACAUCAAUAGAUUUACACCACCAAGCAAAUUAUACAUCAAAUUGGUUGGUGACUUAUCCACACGAGAAUUUGCACAACCUUGAAUAUGGUACCAUUCCUGCUCUGGAGAAUAGAUCAUUUGAGAUAGGAGCUUCAUCCUUGAAACAUGGGUUCAUCUAUCAACUGACCAGGGAAAAUUCCAAAGAAGAUUGUGGAAAUAUUGAAUUAAGUGAAAAUGUUCAAUCAGAUAUUGAAUUUACUGAUGGUUAUCCAAAGGAUACUGGCAGAUAGUGAAGUGUACAGUAAUGCCACAGUAACAAGCAUUAUGGAUAAUAUUAGUUGCAUUGCUACAAGUGUUAGUCCUACUACAAAUAUUAUGACUGCUAGACCUACAUUUGCUACUAAUACUGCUACUACUACUACCCCCCCCCCUCUACUGCUGCUACUACUACAACUACUACUAAUGGUGAUGUUGAUUGUAGCAUUCUCAAUGGAAAUGAUAAUUUACAAAAACCUGAAAUACAGUAUGAGACCAUACAAUUAGGGUUACAUGCAGAAGGAGAACUAACAUUCACAACCAUGAAAUCAAAUGGUAAGAGGAUACCAUGAAUCAAUUUUUUUAAGAGAGCAAAACAAAAUAUUUUUCCCCAAUAAAUGGUCAGUUCUGAAAU